ACGAACGCUGGCGGCGUGCUUAACACAUGCAAGUCGAACGCUGAACCCGCUUCGGUGGGGGAUGAGUGGCGAACGGGUGAGUAACACGUGGGCAACCUGCCCCCGGCUCUGGGAUAACUCCAAGAAAUUGGGGCUAAUACCGGAUGUGACCGCUGGCCGCAUGGUCUGGUGGUGGAAAGGGUUUCCGGCUGGGGAUGGGCCCGCGGCCUAUCAGCUUGUUGGUGGGGUAGUGGCCUACCAAGGCGACGACGGGUAGCCGGCCUGAGAGGGUGACCGGCCACACUGGGACUGAGACACGGCCCAGACUCCUACGGGAGGCAGCAGUGGGGAAUAUUGCGCAAUGGGCGGAAGCCUGACGCAGCGACGCCGCGUGGGGGAUGACGGCCUUCGGGUUGUAAACCUCUUUCAGCAGGGACGAAGCGAAAGUGACGGUACCUGCAGAAGAAGCACCGGCCAACUACGUG
rnacentral:rRNA from 1 species